rnacentral:rRNA from 1 species
UGGGGAAUAUUGGACAAUGGGGGCAACCUUGCUCCAGCCAUGCCGCGUGAGUGAUGAAGGCCCUAGGGUUGUAAAGCUCUUUUGUGCGGGAAGAUAAUGACGGUACCGCAAGAAUAAGCCCCGGCUAACUUCGUGCCAGCAGCCGCGGUAAUACGAAGGGGGCUAGCGUUGCUCGGAAUCACUGGGCGUAAAGGGUGCGUAGGCGGGUCUUUAAGUCAGGGGUGAAAUCCUGGAGCUCAACUCCAGAACUGCCUUUGAUACUGAAGAUCUUGAGUAGGGGAGAGGUGAGUGGAACUGCGAGGGUAGAUGUGAAAUUCGUAGGUAUUCGCAAGAACACCAGUGGCGAAGGCGGCUCACUGGCCCAUAACUGACGCUGAGGCAAGAAAGCGUGGGGAGCAAACAGG